AAUUAAGGGACCGUCUCUAAAGUUACAUACGACAAUGUUAUACACGUUUCUAACUUCAAUAGCAUUUGAAGGGAAUGACUAACAGUCACAAAACCAACUGGAAAGUGUUCAUCUAGGUGUCAGGUAUGGGAAACACCUUUUAGAUUUUUGAUAUUUAUCAAAACAAGCUAUUAAAUCAUAUGUAAAUUAGAUAUGAAUUUCACUACAGAAUGGGCCCAUACACAAAAUAUACCAUUAUUUGAAGCUCAGUAGCAUUUGAAGGGAAUGACUUACAGUCACAGAACCAACAAGAAGAGCAAUGGGCCAAGAGAUCACAAACUCAAAGACGAGCAAAGCAUCGUUCAAAGUAUUUUGAUCCACCAGAAGCAAACAAAAGCAAACAUCUGAGGAUCAUUCAGAGGACACAUCAACCCAGAUCCAAGCUCUGUGGUCUAAGAAAGCAUGUGUGAUAGUCAUUGCCGUCACACAGUCAAAGGACAAAAAAAGGUCUUAUAUCCUGCAUCAUUCAGAGCUGAAAACACUCCAGCCACAUAAAUGCCUGGUGGCGGAGACAAUCCAAUGCUAUUUUCAAGUGGUGGUGAAUAACAGACACCAGGGACACAAGAUUUUUAUACUAGAUCACUACACAGCAAGUGUUAUACUUUAUGGAGAACGAGAUGAAGUAUGGAGAAACAGUCUCUCAAAGGUGGACUUUGAUGACUACGAGGGAAUGAUAAGUUUCCUGAAUGUCAACGGGAAUCAUUGGAUAUUUUUGAGAAUACUUCAAGAUGAGAAGAAACUGUCUCAGUAAAUGUGACUGGGUGGACAUAAAAUGGAAUGGAGGACAAAUGAACCAUUCCACACAACAAGACUGGUACAGCUUUGGAGUGUUUCUCAUGCAGGUUGGAUUUCCUCAUUAAAUUGUACGAAAUAAAGCAAAACAAAUAGUUUAUCUUAUAAUAAACUCUGACACAGUUCUUAUGAAUUUGUGAAGCAGAAUGUUGAUUUACUUAGUAUGUACCAUUCGCCAACAGAGCUAACAUAUAACUGCAUGUUUUCAGUAUUGCAGAGGGGACAUUGCUGCUCUUUAUGUGCUGCCUCAAAAUCCCUGGGUGGUGGUGCAAAAACAUUUUGGGUGGGUAAUGUAUCAAUGGUUAUAACAUUUUUAUGGGCACACCAUUUUGUUUACAAGUGUGUGUUGUGCGUGUAAGAGAGUGAGAGAGUGAGAGAGAAACUAAUUGAUUACUGAGCAAUUUGAUAAAAUUACUAUGAUGAUUUUUCCGAUUGAAUGUCACUGAUGCAAGAGGUGGUUUCAUGUGGCAUGCCUUUCUAUGUCAGAGAACCAGUUCAAAAGGGCUCAAAAGGUUGACUGGAAGUGCUGCCUAUGUAAAUAAUUUUGAAUUCCUUUGGCUCCCAUCCACAAUCUAAACAUGUACAUAAAUAAAUUAAAAGAAAACAAAUAAAAAUGUUUGAAAUAUUAAAACAUUUGUGGAUCACCAUUUCU